CAGUCGCCGCGGUAAUACGAAGGGGGCUAGCGUUGCUCGGAAUGACUGGGCGUAAAGGGCGCGUAGGCGGAUUGUUUAGUUAGGCGUGAAAUUCCUGGGCUUAACCUGGGGACUGCGCUUAAUACAGGCAGUCUAGAGUGAGGAAGAGGGUUGUGGAAUUCCCAGUGUAGAGGUGAAAUUCGUAGAUAUUGGGAAGAGCACCGGUGGCGAAGGCGGCGACCUGGUCUUUGACUGACGCUGAGGCGCGAAAGCGUGGGGAGCAAACAGGAUUAGAUACCCCAGUAGUCCCUGUCUCUUAUAC
rnacentral:rRNA from 1 species